GAGGUUCAGAGGCUGCUUUGAGCUGGCAGAAGGGGAAUUGAACUCGCAAGCUUGAGCUCGCUUUUUCCAGGCACUCCGUGGGCACCCUGUGAAGGCGAGAGCGUGACAUGGUCCUGCUUUUUCUGGCAGCCUUGAUGGCACUGUCAGACUUUGGUCAUGCACAGGACUCUGUGCUGCAGUUUGCACAAGAAACUGCCAUCCAGGUGGGACACAACGCUACUCUGCACUGCAAUUUCUCCACCAGCAGCUCUGCUUUCUACAUCUUCUGGUAUCAGCAGCGCCUGACCCAGUCCCCUCAGUUCUUGCUGCAGGUGAGCAGGUCCAAGCCUCAUGUGCAUUCCGGGAGGAUCUCCUCUGUGCUCUCCAUGGAGAACUCCCAGGUGCUUCUCCAUGUGCAAGAUGCCAAGCUCCAGGACAGCGCUGUCUACCUGUGUGCACUGAGCCCACACUGGUGCCUGCAGCAUGCAGCUUUAUACAGGAAGGUGCGGGUGCUGUGAGGAGCAGCUCCCUCUCAUCACAGUUUGCAUGGAGCUCUGAGCUGAGCCUGCCCAGCAAGGACACGUGGGGCUUGUGGUGAGCCAGGUGUGAGUGGCAGCCCCUGCUCCUGAUGCCUGGCAGUGUGGUUAGCAUAACCAACAGUAAGGCAAAUAUCCAUAAUGUGGAAGGGGACUGUUAAUGUGCACCCCUGCCCCCUUGUCUCUCCCUCUCACUGGCCCCAGCAUGUGGAGACACCCACCAUUGUCGUGAGAAAGGGCAUUAGUGUUAUCCAUCUAGUAAUUCAACUAGUAAUUUAUUUGUAGUAAGCUUUAGGAUUUUGUAGUAAUUUUUAGUAUUUCUAGUAAUUUCUUAUGUAAUAAUAAAUCUCUAGUUAUAACCACAACCUGUGGCCAGUCCUCCUUCUGCCAAGGAUCCCUAAAGAACCUGCCAGUGCUCUGUCGUGUUGGGAGACAGACCUGGGUGUAGUCAGCAGGAUCCUUCUUUUAGAAUAAUGAAUGGUUCCCUUGAUAAAUGGGCCACACUGGGGAAGUGUUUUCUUGGAAAUGGAUGGCAAGAUGCAAAGCAGGAAUGGCUAAGGUCAAUACACCACAAUCCAAAUGCCUCAGGGAAUGAAUUUAAUAAAUGCAAAGAUGCGUGUAUGGUAAGGAAAGACAAAAGGAAGGAAGGAGUGUGCUGGUUGUUAGCUGCAACGUGGAAAAUUGAGAAGGAAUGGGCUGGAAGUUUAGAGGAAGAAAACAGAAGGUUGAAAAGGGAAUUAUCAGCCAAAGAUACAGAUGUUUUGGCUGUUGCAGAACAGUGCUUAGACGAAGUCGAGGACUUUUCAGCUUCUCACACUACCCUCCACCAAGGAGGCUGGAGGUGCAGAUGAAGGUGGGAGGAGACACAACCAGGUAAAAAGUCCAGA